ACUGUGGGAAUAUCACGACAUUCAGAAAUUAAAUUAUUUGUCUUGUUAACUGCCAAACAUCAAAUUAUGCUUUAUUAAGAUAAUAUUAUGCUUCUCUCAAUACUCCCAUCUAGUCAUACCUUUACCACUUUUGAAAAUAAAUGUACAUUUCAGGCUUAAAAAAUAUGUGUAUAUUUUUGCAGCAAAGCAUAUUCCCUUUAAAUGCAGACCAUAAAUUUCAUCUAAUGGAAAAUGGUGUAUGAGUGUUCUGUGCAAGUAUGACAUGAUUGUGUAUAUCAUUUUAAGCAGCACACCUGCUGCAACUUUUUAUUCAAAAUUUGAGAAGACCUUUCAGAGGCAGGCAGUUGCUAGUCUGUGCUCUGGGAAUUGCUGAUUUCCCAGAACUACUGUGACCAGUCACUAUAAGGUUAAUUGUUUGCCCAUCUGUCUACAAAAUAACACCAAUUUAAGGUCCCCAUCGUGCAAGACAUUGCCAACUGGAAAUAGCGUUGGAUAGGCCACACGACGGAGCAGCAGAAUCAAUGCAGCAUCGAUCGCGUUUGAGGGGCCACUGCGUAGUAGGUUAAAACUGUUGAGGAAUAAGAUAAUAAUUUUAUAAAUAACUGGGUCUACUGUAUGUAAUAAAUAAGGUACAGAUAUAGGAAAAGGAAUACUAAGUGAUGAUAAAGAACUAUAAAGAAGUGAAUGAUCAAAAAGGGGACAUGAAAGAAUAAUGUGAUUUAAAUCGCCAAUGUCCGCACCGCACUCACACUUACUGCUAUCCAGCACUCCGAUCGUCGCUAGAUGUGCCGGACUACACGUGUGGCCUAAUCUCAUCCGUAUCAAACUGGAAGUCUCGUGGCGUUUAAAAUUAUAUUUGUAGAACCAUGGUUUGGAAGGAAUGGUUUCUACAGUCUAAGAGAAUAGGGUAAAUCGGUUGAGAUUUAAAAGGAAAUUUUGCAAGAGCCUGUAAAGAACUCUUUGAAUCGGGAUUUGAAAACGAAUUUAUCAGAUAAAUAUUGACGUCUCAAAUGAAGAGGAGGAUCAACACAUUCUACCUGUAAUGCUGUAACAGGACUAGAUUUCAUGGCUCCAGUGAUAAUUCUGAGUGACUUAGACUGUAUAGUGUCUAGUUUUUUGAAAGCAUUCACAUCCCCUGGUUGAAGUAAAAAAGUACCAUAAUCUAAAACUGAUCUUACUAUGGCAUUAUAUAAAAGUUUUAAAUUGAAUGGGUGGGCACCCCACCAUACACCGGCAAGAGAACAAAUUAAUUCAUUCUCAUACAAUAUACUAAUUGGAGGAAGAGAACGUUUUCUAGAGAAUACAACAAUAGAACUUUUGGAGGCAGAAAGGGAAAGUCCAUUAUUAUCUAACCAAGAUUUAAGAGUUAGAAAUGAAUUCCUAAGGGAUAAGCAAGCUUUAUGUAUGUCUUUAUUGCAAGUGUACAUAAGGAGGUCAUCAGCAUAUUGAAGAAUUCUUACUUGAUUUCCAAGGGUCUCUUCCAAAUCACAAGUGUAUAUAUUGUAUAAAAUUGGACUUAACACAGAUCCUUGAGGAAGACCUCUCCAUAAAGUUCUAGAUUGUUGUGAAUCUGAAGAGGUAGAGUUUAAAAUGAUAGUUCGAUUUGACAUUAUAGUAAUAAUCAAGUUAGCAAGUCUAACAGGAACCCUUAUUUUCUGUAAUUUGUAAAGCAGUGUAGGAAUAUGUACAUUAUCAUAUGCAGCGGAAAUAUCCAGAAAUCCAGCUACAAUAGAUUCAGAGUUUGAGAAAGCUACCAAAAUAUCCACUAUAAAGAUAGCAAGAUUGUCCAUUGUGCUUUUACCCCUUCUAAAUCCGUUUUGACUGUCACUGAGUAAACUGUUACUUUCCACAAACCAUUCUAGUCUAAUUUUAAUUAAAUGUUCUAAA